UGGACCAGCCCGGGAAAUGUUUUAUAUAAAUAAUUACUAACUACGGUAAAAGAGUAAUCAUAUAGUAACCUAGGGCUGAGAGAGAGAAUCCAAGGAGGGACAAACUUGAAGGAAGUGUGGUUCAGCUCACCAAAUAGCAGUGAAGUCUGCUGGUAUGGCCAGGCUGCAGAUGGUCUGGGCUGUUGGGCAAGCAACAGGCCGCCACUCUAGAUGAGAGUGCAAGCGAGGAGCAGGUGAUCAACAGCUGAUACCAUGGGUGUGAGUGAUGGAGGUCCGGGUGCUGGCAAGAGGAGGAGGGAGGGCGCAAGUCAUGCGUGGCUCUGGUUUUUGUGUCACGAGGGCUGUGGACAGGUUAUGGCUAGGCUAAGGCUGCAGGUUUGCAGAGGGCCUGUGGUUUGGGCUCGAUGCUGGGGCAGGCUUCACCGGAUGUCCUCCCACUCACGCCACCAAUAGGUCUAAGAGCAGCUUCCUCCCACAGUGUCCCUCUCGCGCCCUCUACUGGAAUUCCGUUAGCACAGAGCGUAAGUGCUUUAGGAGCUGAGGCACAAAUUGGUAACUGACAUAGUACCCCAGCCCAGUAAAGGAGAUCUGGAUGGGACACCAACUGCACCUACUAAUACCCACUCUGCACAGUUUCUGCUUCUCGAAAAUAGCGGUAACAUCCAGUAUACAAAGUUGUUGUGCAGAUUAAGUGAGAUUUUGUACAGCACCAAGCACAGUGCCUGGCAUACGGAUUGGAUUUGGCAAAUCAGAGCAGAAGAAGGCCUCACAAUGGAGAAAACAAAGAUGAGUAAAUACAGAUAUCAGGCUUGGCAGAAUCUGCAAGAAGACUAGAGGAAGAUGCAAACUGAAAAAAGAAAAGGAGGACACGGAAGAUCUGAGCUAAAGGAUCAAAAAGCAGGCAAGUCCAAUUACAAGACUCCAGUGCUUCUGCAAGAUGUGACCACUGCUAUAAACCACUGCCAUCCGUGCUGGACCAUGGCUCCUAACCAGCCCUACUUUCCUGGUCACUAGCUCCAGAAUCAACGUCUCAGGCUGCAACAUCUAAUUGGCUGAGCUUGGGUCACGUGCUAUGUCCCGGCUCCUGGGGAAUUCUCAGGAAGAUGGAGCAUCGUUCCCUUUCACUUUUGUAGUGAGAGGCAAAACACUGCAGCACACCAAUCUGAUACUCAGUGGUAAAUUCCGCCCAAAUACAAAGGGAGCAAUAGGUGCUCCACUGUCAAAUGAUAGAGCAAACGUCUAGAGCUGUCUGCGUGUUGAGACACACGGGAGCUUCUCUGUUCGGUAUGGAGAAUAGAUGGGCUAAGACUCCACAUCUGAUUUAUCUAUUCUGUCAGCGUGAAAGUACCUUGAGGAAGAAGAAGGCUGUGGGAAUCUAGGGGGAAAAAAGCCCUACUGCCAGAACCAAGCAGUUCUGUUGUGGUAUCCCUUCUAAAAAGGCAGAACAGGGCAGAGAAAGGAACAUUUCACAACUAGUAAAAGGAAUGAACACGCUGGAGCCUUGGAACCGCAGGAGGCUGGGCAGGGCCAGCGAGUGGGUACAAGGGUAGGUGAUGACAGCGGGGAAUAGGCUUGGGGGUCAGGGAGUUCCCUGGAAGCCUCAAGCUGGCAAAAGAGGAUGUAAACGUUCCUAUGAUCAUAGCUGGUGAGGCUCAGGGAAACACUUGAUUAUAGGAGUUACUGGCAUUUUCCCCUAAAAUAUACCAUGUCUUAUUAAUCACUUUUACUAUCACUUUCAGUUUUGAUGACCUUCCUCAUAAAGCUUUUAAUCUACCCUGAAAGGGGGCCUCCUAUUCCUUUUUAUCUAACUUUUUAAAAUAAUUGGACAAUCUCACCUCUUAACAAAGCAUUCCCUGACCUAAACCAACCCAUAUUGUUUUCUCCAUUAUCUAAAUUCUUAACGCUUUUACCACACAAUUUAGUACUUAAAAUCAACUACUGUCUAUAACCUUCUCUAGCUGUUUCUGACCCAUAAGACUUGUCCCUCCAACAAUGUGGGGCCCUCUGAAGAAACUGUAUCAACAGACUUUGAAAUUCCCUAACUCUAUAAUAGAUGCUUAAUAAACACAUCUUUCAUCAAGGGUUUGAUCAUGAUGGAGUGGAAAGAAAACAGAAAUGAGAUGGUCUGGAUUAAGCCCGUCCCACAAUGGUUAUGGGAUAAACUGUUCCUUCAACUUUUGGUCAUUAUUUCCUUAUCAAUAAAGAAGGGACAAUAGAGAUGAUGAAGAUAAAAAUACCAUCACCAAUCCCUAGCUCAAAAUGUUAUCAAGAGCUAAUAAAAAUACAGCAAAACACUUUCAAACGUUAAACCACUGCAUUAUAAAAAUACUAGUUUUGAAUGCACACUAUUACCUACUAUUAGCAUCAAACAAAAGCAAUUUCCCCAGCAGAAUUUCAAAUGCUAUAGCAGGUUAUAGACAGAAUAUAUUUCUGGAAAUUGAGGCCAUUCUAUCUUGCUUCAAAAUAUGUCAUAUAGAUAGUUGUAAUUUUGCUUUUAAACUUACUCUACUGUCUUUUCCUGUCCUGAUACGGUCCAUGUAAGCCCAUUACAUCUUAGCCAAAUUGCUGCAUAGUCUCUUCACACCACCUCCCUUCACAAUGACAGCACCCUAUAUUUAUACAGAACUUUACAGUUUACAGAACACUUUCACACCUACUGUCUCAUUUGAUCUUUGCACACACACAAACAACAACUACAAGAGAAAAGUGUUAAUACUUAAUAAGCUCCCCAAAAUGUUUGAAGCUUUAAAGUUAAAGCAAAAUUUCUUCAGUGAAACAGCUCUUUCUUUGAGGAGUCCCUUUUGCUCUAGCAUAAUUAUCCCCAAUUUAAUACUCAGUACUUAAGACAACAAUCUGAAAGCUUUUAGGGCUAAUUUUACAACUUUUUAAUAUCUUGAUCCAAAAUUUAAAUUGGAUAAGUUCUAUAGCUACCUGUACCUUCUAUGGCACCUGAUAUUUAUAUAAUACUUCACAGUUUACAGAACAUUUUCAUAUCUACCAUCUCAUUUGAAUUUGCACACACGUAAAGGUCAAGACACAAGGUCAAAAUUAUGGCUUAUUUAUUCAUCUUUGUAUCUCUUGGGACUAAAACAGUGCCUGGUGCCUAUGAGAUAUUGAACAAAUGUUUGUUUAAUUAAAUGUGAAGGAAGAGGAGGAAGAACAAGAUGAAGGAAAGGGACAAAAUGAUAUGCCUCAAAAGCAAGGAGAGAUCAGUGUCCAUGGAGAUACAGAAGAUUAUUUUUAUUCCUCCCUGUGCAAAGACUUCACUAAAUUACAUUAAUAUUCAAUUCUCACACAUACACUUUGUGUUGAGCACUAAAUUACAGGUUUUGCAAAGAGAGGACUUAUUAAAUAUUGGAAUUAGAAGAUGUUCUCUUUACUAUUUUUAAAAUUGGCAUAUGUUUAAGAACCUAAAACUUUCAGUCAAAUUGGGAAUGAAAAUAACCCUUGCAUGAGAUCGGCCUAGGCUUCCCAAGUAAAACUCUUUCUCUCAUUAUUGCUGCUUUAAAAUGAAAAAGUUUCAGUGCCUCUACAAAUGACUCUUUCUAAAAGGUGAUGUGGAAAUCUUAAAUCUUUUAUGACAAUCAGUAGCAAUCCUGCACUUAAAACAGUAAAAAAAGGUGAAGAAUAAUGCUUCUAAUAAUAUUUGAUUGGCUUAAAUUUGCAGCAAGUUUGCAGAUCAUUUCUAAAUAUACCUGCUACAAGUAUUUCACACUGAAAAUAACAUAAGUAGUCAUCUCUUUUAUUGGAAUCAGACUGAGCGAAAAUAAAUAUGAUGGAUCAAAUUCAACCACAAACCCAAGCCAACUCCGUAGAAAGCUGAAAAGGAAAAAUAAAAUCAAUUACACAAAAUGAAUGAAUCAUUUAUUUAACCAGAGACAUUUUACGUCAAUAAUAAAAGAAAUGUGGUCUUCUUAAAUCAUGAUGGAGGAGAGCUGAGAGAAUAAAUCUCUUCACUCCCCAAAUCCCUUUGAAAAAGACAAACGGGGAAAUAAAGGAAAACACAAAAGAGCACUGGAAAUUUGGGACAAUUAUGAAUUCCAUGGAAGAUAUAAAGCAGAUGACAAUAGACUGAUGUCAAAAUCUAACUGAGUUAUGAUUAUCUCAACCAGAGAAGACCCUAAGAUAAAGGCAUUCUUUGAAGAAGAAUUGGAUCAUAGGCAGUCAAGAGAAAAAUUACAGUGCGUAAGAACAUAGAGACAGUAGCUGACUUUUGCUUCCUGAAAAAAAAAAAACAAAAACAGACAUGUUUAAAUUUUGUAAUUUAAAAAUACUUUUCAAUAGACAGUUUAUU